UUGAAAUGUUUUGGAUUUUUGGCGAGGAAUUACAGAAUUACAGUGCAAUAUCGUCAUCUGUGGGUAGUAAACUACCCCGGGUUCUAAAAACUUCCGUGGGUCGAUGUUCGGCGAUGCAUCAACCGUGAGGGUUUCAAUCGUGAAUAUAAUAGGGUUAUCAAUUUGAGGUAGUCAAGGUUUUUAAGAUAGUUGUGUCAAGGAAGUUGACAGAUUUCUCAGAGAAGGAAAAGUCAAAUUUGAUGGUAUAAGAUUUUCAGGAGCUUGUUGGAGGAGCUCCUGUUCAAGUGCUGCCAUGAAUAUGUUUGCAUAGGGGUAAUUGUGUUGAUUUCUUUCAACAUGUCUAUACAGGCUUGGAUGCCUUGAUCAUUAGAUCAUGGAUGGUUUUAAGGCUUUGUGAGGAUAAGUUGGUUUUUGUAGUUUGUUUUUGUGUUCCAAAUUCAAUUUUGAGAUCGUAGAGUACAUUUGAUAUGUAUUCUAACAGGUUGCUGUUGUCGGGGUUUGGUGCUGUGAAGUUACUGGGUAGUUUAAAUGGAUGUUUUUUAGUGUCCUUUCUGUUUCUGAAGAAAUAUUUAUUGUACAUGCUUUUUUUAUAUUUCAGAAAAGAGGCAUAUAUGGUCUUGUAUGGUGUGUGUUUGGGUGUCGGGACAAAGGUAAGGCCUUUCGACAGGGUUUUUUGUGCUUCCUGUGAGAUGGGUUUGUUAGAGAGGUUAACAAUAGUAUUGUGUUGGGAGUUAUAUUUGAGUUUUUUAUGUAGUUUAUUUUUGCUUUUGUGUCUGUUG